rnacentral:rRNA from 1 species
AUUGAACGCUGGCGGCAGGCCUAACACAUGCAAGUCGAACGAGUGGCGGACGGGUGAGUAAUGUCUGGGAAAAUGCCUGAUGGAGGGGGAUAACUACUGGAAACGGUAGCUAAUACCGCAUACCAUCGGAUGUGCCCAGAUGGGAUUAGCUAGUAGGUGGGGUAAAGGCCAACCUAGGCGACGAGCCCUAGCUGGUCUGAGCGGAUGACCAGCCACACGGGAAUGGAGCCACGGUCCAGACUCCUCCGUGAGGCAGCAGUGGGGAAUUGUGGCCAAUGGGCGCAAGCCUGAUGCAGCCAUGCCGCGUGUAUGAAGAAGGCCUUCGGGUUGUAAAGUACUUUCAGCGGGGAAGCGUUACCCGCAGAAGAAGCACCGGCUAACUCCGUGCCAGCAGCCGCGGUAUUAC